AGAGUUUGAUCAUGGCUCAGAUUGAACGCUGGCGGCAGGCCUAACACAUGCAAGUCGAGCGGUAGCACAGAGAGCUUGCUCUCGGGUGACGAGCGGCGGACGGGUGAGUAAUGUCUGGGAAACUGCCUGAUGGAGGGGGAUAACUACUGGAAACGGUAGCUAAUACCGCAUAAUGUCGCAAGACCAAAGUGGGGGACCUUCGGGCCUCAUGCCAUCAGAUGUGCCCAGAUGGGAUUAGCUAGUAGGUGGGGUAACGGCUCACCUAGGCGACGAUCCCUAGCUGGUCUGAGAGGAUGACCAGCCACACUGGAACUGAGACACGGUCCAGACUCCUACGGGAGGCAGCAGUGGGGAAUAUUGCACAAUGGGCGCAAGCCUGAUGCAGCCAUGCCGCGUGUGUGAAGAAGGCCUUCGGGUUGUAAAGCACUUUCAGCGGGGAGGAAGGCGGUGAGGUUAAUAACCUCACCGAUUGACGUUACCCGCAGAAGAAGCACCGGCUAACUCCGUGCCAGCAGCCGCGGUAAUACGGAGGGUGCAAGCGUUAAUCGGAAUUACUGGGCGUAAAGCGCACGCAGGCGGUCUGUCAAGUCGGAUGUGAAAUCCCCGGGCUCAACCUGGGAACUGCAUUCGAAACUGGCAGGCUAGAGUCUUGUAGAGGGGGGUAGAAUUCCAGGUGUAGCGGUGAAAUGCGUAGAGAUCUGGAGGAAUACCGGUGGCGAAGGCGGCCCCCUGGACAAAGACUGACGCUCAGGUGCGAAAGCGUGGGGAGCAAACAGGAUUAGAUACCCUGGUAGUCCACGCCGUAAACGAUGUCGAUUUGGAGGUUGUGCCCUUGAGGCGUGGCUUCCGGAGCUAACGCGUUAAAUCGACCGCCUGGGGAGUACGGCCGCAAGGUUAAAACUCAAAUGAAUUGACGGGGGCCCGCACAAGCGGUGGAGCAUGUGGUUUAAUUCGAUGCAACGCGAAGAACCUUACCUGGUCUUGACAUCCACAGAACUUUCCAGAGAUGGAUNNNGGUGCCUUCGGGAACUGUGAGACAGGUGCUGCAUGGCUGUCGUCAGCUCGUGUUGUGAAAUGUUGGGUUAAGUCCCGCAACGAGCGCAACCCUUAUCCUUUGUUGCCAGCGGUCCGGCCGGGAACUCAAAGGAGACUGCCAGUGAUAAACUGGAGGAAGGUGGGGAUGACGUCAAGUCAUCAUGGCCCUUACGACCAGGGCUACACACGUGCUACAAUGGCAUAUACAAAGAGAAGCGACCUCGCGAGAGCAAGCGGACCUCAUAAAGUAUGUCGUAGUCCGGAUUGGAGUCUGCAACUCGACUCCAUGAAGUCGGAAUCGCUAGUAAUCGUAGAUCAGAAUGCUACGGUGAAUACGUUCCCGGGCCUUGUACACACCGCCCGUCACACCAUGGGAGUGGGUUGCAAAAGAAGUAGGUAGCUUAACCUUCGGGAGGGCGCUUACCACUUUGUGAUUCAUGACUGGGGUGAAGUCGUAACAAGGUAACCGUAGGGGAACCUGCGGUUG
rnacentral:rRNA from 1 species